GGGGAAUUUUGGACAAUGGGGGCAACCCUGAUCCAGCCAUGCCGCGUGCGGGAAGAAGGCCUUCGGGUUGUAAACCGCUUUUAGUCGGGAAGAAAAGGCCAGGCCUAAUACGUCUGGUUCUUGACGGUACCGGCGGAAUAAGCACCGGCUAACUACGUGCCAGCAGCCGCGGUAAUACGUAGGGUGCGAGCGUUAAUCGGAAUUACUGGGCGUAAAGCGUGCGCAGGCGGUUCGUUAAGGCUGAUGUGAAAGCCCCGGGCUCAACCUGGGAAUGGCAUUGGAAACUGGCGGGCUUGAGUGUGGCAGAGGGGGGUGGAAUUCCGCGUGUAGCAGUGAAAUGCGUAGAGAUGCGGAGGAACACCGAUGGCGAAGGCAGCCCCCUGGGCUAACACUGACGCUCAGGCACGAAAGCGUGGGGAGCAAAC
rnacentral:rRNA from 1 species